GCAGGCUGCAACCCGCCUGCAUGAAGUUGGAAUCACUAGUAAUCGCGGAUCAGCAUGCCGCGGUGAAUGCGUUCUCGGGCCUUGUACACACCGCCCGUCACACCAUGAGAGUCGGGAACACCCGAAGUCCGUAGCCUAACCGCAAGGGGGGCGCGGCCGAAGGUGGGCUCGAUAAUUGGGGUGAAGUCGUAACAAGGUAUC
rnacentral:rRNA from 1 species